rnacentral:rRNA from 1 species
AUUGAACGCUGGCGGCAGGCUUAACACAUGCAAGUCGAGCGGGGACUUCGGUCCUAGCGGCGAACGGGUGAGGAAUGCUUGGGAAUCUGCCUGUAGUGGGGGAUAACGUUUCGAAAGGAACGCUAAUACCGCAUACGUCCUACGGGAGAAAGGGGGGGAUCUUCGGACCUCUCGCUAUCAGAUGAGCCCAAGUCGGAUUAGCUAGUUGGUGAGGUAAAGGCUCACCAAGGCGACGGUCCGUAGCUGGUCUGAGAGGAUGAUCAGCCACACUGGAACUGAGACACGGUCCAGACUCCUACGGGAGGCAGCAGUGGGGAAUAUUGGACAAUGGGCGAAAGCCUGAUCCAGCCAUGCCGCGUGUGUGAAGAAGGCCUUCGGGUUGUAAAGCACUUUAAGCGAGGAGGAAUGGCUCUGGGUUAAUACCCUUGAGCAGUGACGUUACUCGCAGAAUAAGCACCGGCUAACUCUGUGCCAGCCGCCGCAGUAACAC